UACAGAGGGGGCAAGCGUUGUUCGGAAUUACUGGGCGUAAAGGGCGCGUAGGCGGCCUUCUAAGUCGAACGUGAAAUCCCCGGGCUCAACCCGGGAACUGCGUCCGAUACUGGAAGGCUUGAAUCCGGGAGAGGGAUGCGGAAUUCCAGGUGUAGCGGUGAAAUGCGUAGAUAUCUGGAGGAACACCGGUGGCGAAGGCGGCAUCCUGGACCGGUAUUGACGCUGAGGCGCGAAAGCCAGGGAAGCAAACGGG
rnacentral:rRNA from 1 species